GGACCUGGCAGAAACAACUAAGGGCAGCACCCUUCAGAGACACUGGGUUUUGUUCUUUGUAUUCCUACAUAGCAGAGAAGAACAUAGCUGCUCAGGAGCCUGCAGUCUGGACCUAAGCCUUUAGGUCCAACCCAAAAGGUGUUCUGCCUGCAUUUAUGGCUGUACACCACAUGCAAUGUCCACAGAAGCUAGAAAAUGGAAUAGGAUGCCCCAGAACUGGAGUUAUAGA